AUUGAACGCUGGCGGCAGGCCUAACACAUGCAAGUCGAACGAGUGGCGGACGGGUGAGUAAUGUCUGGGAAACUGCCCGAUGGAGGGGGAUAACUACUGGAAACGGUAGCUAAUACCGCAUACCAUCGGAUGUGCCCAGAUGGGAUUAGCUAGUAGGUGGGGUAAAGGCUCACCUAGGCGACGAUCCCUAGCGGGUCUGAGAUGAUGACCAGCCACACUGGCACUGAGACACGGUCCUGACGCGUACGGGAGGCAGCAGGUGGGAAUAUUGCACAGUGGGAGCAAGCCUGAUGCAGCCAUGCCGCGUGUAUGAAGAAGGCCUUCGGGUUGUAAAGUACUUUCAGCGAGGAGGCGUUACUCGCAGAAGAAGCACCGGCUAACUCCGUGCCAGCAGCCGCGGUAAUUC
rnacentral:rRNA from 1 species